rnacentral:rRNA from 1 species
AGGAUGAACGCUGGCGGCGUGCUUAACACAUGCAAGUCGAACGGUGAAGUGAGGAGCUUGCUCCUUGCGGAUCAGUGGCGAACGGGUGAGUAACACGUGAGUAACCUGCCCUUGACUCUGGGAUAAGCGUUGGAAACGACGUCUAAUACCGGAUACGACCUCCGAAGGCAUCUUCUGGAGGUGGAAAGAAUUUCGGUCAAGGAUGGACUCGCGGCCUAUCAGCUAGUUGGUGAGGUAAUGGCCCACCAAGGCGACGACGGGUAGCCGGCCUGAGAGGGUGACCGGCCACACUGGGACUGAGACACGGCCCAGACUCCUACGGGAGGCAGCAGUGGGGAAUAUUGCACAAUGGGCGCAAGCCUGAUGCAGCAACGCCGCGUGAGGGACGACGGCCUUCGGGUUGUAACCUCUUUAGUAGGGAAGAAGCGAAAGUGACGGUACCUGCAGAAAAGCACCGGCUAACUACGUGCCAGCAGCCGC